GGAAAGAUGGCGGCGCCCUGGUGGCGUGCCGCGUUUUCCGUCACUGGGAGAUGCCGGGGCAUCAGCACUUCGGCCUCCCUCAGCCGCCGGACACCGCCGCUCGGGCCCAUGCCCAACGAGGACAUUGACGUGAGCAACCUGGAGCGGCUGGAGAAGUACCGGAGCUUCGAGCGGUACCGCCGCCGGGCGGAGCAAGAGGCGCAUGCCCCGCACUGGUGGCGGACCUACCGGGAGUAUUUCCUGAAGGAGACAGAUCCCAAAGACAGAAUCAACAUCGGGCUGCCUCCACCCAGAGUCAGUCGGACCCAAAAGCUACAGGAGCGGAAACGCUUUCUCCAGGAGCUUCGUGCCAAUUCGGAAGAAGAGAGGGCAGCGCGCCUCCGCACGGGUGAGCCUCGCAAAGGA
rnacentral:lncRNA from 1 species